GCUGUGGGGAUCUGGCAUUGUGACUCCUGCAUGAAAACCGUUGCUGGUGGCGCCUGGACCUACAACACCACUUCUGCGGUCACAGUAAAGUCUGCC
rnacentral:miRNA from 1 species